rnacentral:rRNA from 1 species
CAAGUCGAGCGGCAGCGAGGCUGGUAGCGAUACUAGUUGUCGGCGAGCGGCGGACGGGUGAGUAACACGUAGGAACUUGACCUUAAGAGUGGGAUAACUGAGGGAAACUUCAGCUAAUACUGCAUAGACUCGGGAGAGGAAAGCUGCCUUGGAGUAAUUUAGGGUGGCGCUUGAGGAGAGGCCUGCGUCCGAUUAGCUAGUUGGGGAGGUAAAGGCUUCCCAAGGCGAUGAUCGGUAACUGGUCUGAGAGGACGACCAGUCACACUGGGACUGAGACACGGCCCAGACUCCUACGGGAGGCAGCAGUGGGGAAUAUUGGACAAUGGGGGGAACCCUGAUCCAGCGAUGCCGCGUGGGUGAAGAAGGCCUUCGGGUUGUAAAGCCCUUUAGGUUAGGAAGAAGUAUGCUAGGUUAAGAGCUAGGUAUAUUGACGGUACUAACAGAAUAAGCACCGGCAAACUCUGUGCCAGCAGCCGCGGUAAUACAGAGGGUGCGAGCGUUAAUCGGAAUUACUGGGCGUAAAGGGCGCGUAGGCGGUUGUAUGUGAGUGAUGUGAAAGCCCCGGGCUUAACCUGGGAAGAGCAUUGCUGACUGUAUGACUGGAGUAUAUGAGAGGGUGGCGGAAUUUCCGGUGUAGCGGUGAAAUGCGUAGAGAUCGGAAGGAACGUCAAUGGCGAAGGCAGCCACCUGGCAUGAUACUGACGCUGAGGCGCGAAAGCGUGGGGAGCGAACAGGAUUAGAUACCCUGGUAGUCCAGGCUGUAAACGAUGAGAACUAGAUGUUGCUUGGGGAACCAAGCGGUAUCGAAGCUGACGCGAUAAGUUUUCCGCCUGGGAAGUACGGCCGCAUGGUUGAAACUCAAAGGAUUUGACGGGGGCCCCCCAAGCGGUGGAACAUGUG